UACGAAGGGGGCUAGCGUUGCUCGGAAUCACUGGGCGUAAAGCGCACGUAGGCGGAUUGCUAAGUCAGGGGUGAAAUCCUGGAGCUCAUCUCCAGAACUGCCUUUGAUACUGGCGAUCUCGAGUCCGGGAGAGGUGAGUGGAACUGCGAGUGUAGAGGUGAAAUUCGUAGAUAUUCGCAAGAACACCAGUGGCGAAGGCGGCUCACUGGCCCGGUACUGACGCUGAGGUGCGAAAGCGUGGGGAGCAAACAGG
rnacentral:rRNA from 1 species